rnacentral:rRNA from 1 species
UACGUAGGGGGCAAGCGUUGUCCGGAUUUAUUGGGCGUAAAGCGCGUGUAGGCGGCCACACAGGUCCGCUGUGAAAACUCGAGGCUCAACCUCGAGCUGUCGGUGGAAACCGUGUGGCUAGAGUCCGGAAGAGGAGACUGGAAUUCCCGGUGUAGCGGUGGAAUGCGCAGAUAUCGGGAGGAACACCCGUGGCGAAGGCGGGUCUCUGGAACGGUACUGACGCUGAGACGCGAAAGCGUGGGGAGCGAACAGG